CCUCGGGUCUGCCCCUUAAGCUUCGCAGUCUCACCUGUAAAGUCUUCCACUUUCAGCGGGGCCAUACCUGCCUCCUAGCCGCCCUGAUGGGCUCUCACGAAAUCAGAUGAUACCGCCACUGGGCGGGACUCGGAGAGCAGCAAAUGGCUCUGGUGAAAUCACCUCCCAUCCUCCGCUGAGGGGGGACAGGAAGCUGCAGCGAAGAGAGAGAUGGAGAAAACAUUCACCUGAUGGAGGAAGUCACAAAAGACAAGAUGGGCCUUUCCAAUUUCUACCUUCAAGUCCCACCAUUAACACACCACGAGGGAUGCAGACUCAGGCUCGGUCCUCAUGUGCCCACUGACUGGCCGUGUGGCCUUGCCUCAGUUUCCUCAUCUGAAACUUGAAAGGGAUGGAACUCUUGCUUUCACUGGCUCCUUUCAGCUCAGAAACUGAAGGCUUCCAUACGAGCUGGGUGAUGUCUCAGAACCAGGAAAGGGCUGAGGAAGACAAGACAUGGCCUUGGAGCAAGGAGAGCCUCCUCCAGGGACCCAUGCCUGGUCUCCCUCCCGGACGCAGCACUUCUGACUGGAGCACCGGCACCCCCAGCCUCAGACCACACGGCCCCGCCAUUCAUUUUUAUAUUUUCUAACCUCUCCCCCUGGUGUAGGGGCCGACCCAGCUCUGGCACACUUCAAGGCACUCACAGCCUCAUGACCGUCUCAUGACACCCCCUGUCCCCAAAGCCAGCCCUCUGAGGAAGCAGAGCCUGGAACAGUUAUCCAAACAGUAGGCAGAAGAGGAAGCCACACAGGGCCCCAUGAAGCGCACCAAACCAAGCUGAGAGCCAGGGAAAGCAUGCUUUGAAUCCUGCGCCUGCCACUGAUUUGCUGGGUGACCUUGGCCUAGCUUCUUCAGUCCUCUGGGCGUCGCUUUCCUGAUCUGUCAAGAGAGGCCUGGGACUGGUCUCUGCCUGAUCUUCCAGCUCUGACAGCCUGGGCAUCACUGGGAUCUCAGGAUCCCAGCAGCACCACUGACCCCGACCAUCUGGGCCCCGCGGACUCCAGACAGGCGGACCUGACAGACAGCCAACUCGGGGGAGUUCUGUGGCACCAGGGACAGAGCUCAGCCCCACAGAGCCCAGCUGCUGGAGGCCGUCUGAAGGCAGACGGCUGCUGAAAUUCAGGAUCAAAUGGGUGUCACGCUUUCUCAGAGUUGGAACUGCUCAGCUCGGGAUGGGGUCAGAGGACCAGAAGGAGGCUUUGUGCAUUCUCGGUGCCACACUGCCUAGUAGGCGAAAGUGGCACCCCUCCUGCUCCAUCUCUGCUGGAUUUGAACCAUAAACACAGCCCUUUUCUGAAGGGAAGGGCUUAACACAAACCAGAUGUGGUAGGGACUUUCCCCCACCCCCUCCUGGCCCUAAAAUUAAACAUUCAGUGUCUCCUCUGCCAAAA